CGGUGCCGCAGUGAGUUGGGUGGCGGUGAUUUGUUCGCGGGCGCAGGCUGGGAGGCGGGGUUCCUGACUCACUGCGGCACUGGCAGGGCUGGUGACAGCACCACCCCCGCGCCGCCUGCAAUCUGCCACCGCUGCCACCGAGCCGAGGGGCGCCAGCAAGGCAUCCCCUGGGUCAAGGGGCCUCCCGUGGGCUUUCCAAACAGCCUGUGCUCAUUUCCGCGGGAGCCCUCGGGGCGCUGUGCUGUGGCUGCAUUGUCACUGUUUGUUUAUUUCUACAUCUGCUCUGUUAGAAGAUAGGCUCGCUUAGGACAGAGCCUUCUAAUCCACCCCCUGAUGAAUUCGGGCCCUCGCCUUUGGCACAAUGCCUGGCGUCAUCACAACGCGGGUGAUCAGUAAACGGCAGCGAAGGAAGCGGGGUCAGGACUGGAGAGGAGAGGGGGAGGAAGACAGACGACCGGAGAGGAACAAAAAUGGAAGGUAACUUGAGCUUUCAUAACUGCAGAAGUGCAAAACAGCUCCCUGUGUGAUAUAGGAAGUAAAACCGUAGAGAUGGGACUUGGCUGGCCUGCCCUUCACACACUUUAGACAUUAACCCAAAGUUCAUGCUCCUGCCAUGACAGUGAUGGUGGACAGGAGGGAAGAAAAUGACAAGGAGGAAAGGAGGUGUCUUUUGCUCUUAAAAAUGAGAAGGGUCAUAAACAAUCCAUCGGCUGCAAACCACGAGUUGCCCCCAAAGCAAAGCAGGUUAGUGGCUGCUGCCGCCUCAUCAUAGCUUCAGAACCCACAGAGCCUGGAGGACUGUCAAACAUUAUCUAAUAUCCCAUUCUACAGAAGAGAAAACUGAGGUUGAGGCAGGAACGCAGACAGGAAUCAAGGUUUUGGGGUUGGGAUUUGCAAUCCAUUACUUUGCCUCCUGCAUCCACUGCUUUUCCCUGGGCAUUCUCUUCUUCCGGUUUCUUGGAAGUUAAAAUUGCGAGAGAAGCAACACAGAGUGGUUUUCCCAGGGCCUCGACCUCGGUAAGGGAAGACGUGGAAUUCCGAGUGUGGAGACCCAGACAGCCUCCGAAACCCCCACGCAACCCUGGGCGUUCAGCAGCUGCCAAUGCCCGCCUGACAAGUUUCUGGGGCAUCUCUGCACACGGAGAGGUGUGUCUCCUGCAGCUCCAAAAACAGAUUUUGCCAUCUCAUCCCCAUAUUUGCAGUCUCCAGUUGGCUUCUUGUGAUUGGCCAGAACUUUUCCUCACUGGAGAGAUGAGGAGAAUCCAGUCCUCCAACCAGCUGAGAGAAAACACUGCAGUAGCAGAGAUAGCAAUGGCUGUUCCACCCCACACUGAUACGAUGUCAGGGAGCCAGGGGUGGGCUCAACAGGCUGAAUGAUGCCAGGGACUCCCAAGGGUCUAUACAUUUAACCCUGGAGGAAGUGGCCUCUGACCAGAACAAGUAAGAAUGGACAGAGGAAUACCAUGUGCUGACUGACGAACGCCUGGGUUUCUGAACCAAUUGCCAUCAAGGGGAUUGGGAUUACCAUAAUUUUUGCUGAGACUAAGCCCCACCCCAGUAACCAAAGGCUUAUGGGUGGAAUGCAAGCUAUUGGAAGUAUUUGAAGAUGUGACCAAGGAAGCUAUGAGAAUUGGAAAUGAGGCAGUUGUUUAGAAACGGGCUGAUGUGCUUGUGGCAGUGUUUCAAGAACCCAGCUCCAUUCAUCCUAUGAUGCCACCAUCCUCAGCAUUUGACUUCCAUGGCUCCUGUAAGAGAAGAGAACAUGAAGAACAAAACAGGAGGUUUUUAUGGGAGGCAUGUCAAUUUGACCAGAUACUUUGCCCAGAACCUUGUCACAUGGCCUCUGCCUAAAUGACAAUGAGGCUAGUGGCUGGGUGUGGUGGCUCAUGCUUGUAAUCUCAGCACUUUGGGAGGCUGAGCCAGGAGGGUCUCUUGAGCCUAGGAAUUCAAGAUCAGCCUGGGCAACAUAGGGAGACUUCGUCGCUACAAAAAAAAAUAAAUUAAAAAUUAGCUGGGCAUAGUGGCACAUGCCUGUAGUCUCAGCUAGUUGGGAGGCUGAAGUGGGAAGAUCACUUGAGCUGGGAGGUUGAGGCUGCAGUGAGCCGAGAUCACGCCACUGCACUCUAGCCUGAAUGACAAAGUGAGACCCUAUCUCAAAGAAAAAACAAAAAAUGAGUCUGGGUAACGUAGCCUGUGAGACCAGAAAGAAGCAUCAGGAUUGGCGAGUAUUAAUACCAUCUCUACCAUAAACAUUUUUGGAAAUAUUUCUUUUUUUUUUUUAGAGAAAGGGUCUUGCUGUGUUGCCCAGGCUGGUCUCAAACUCCUAGCCUCAAGCAAUCUUCCCAACAUAGCCUCCAAAAGUGCUGGGAUUACAGGCAUGAGCCAACAAGCCUGGCCCUAGAAAUAUUUCUUUCUCUAAAUUCAAAGUAACUAGGGGGAAUAUUAAUCUCAUUCUAAAUAUUUUAUUUUGUCACUCCCUAUCCUUUGUUUUCAAACACCUCACACUACUAUUAUGUGUUAUCACGAGUCAACUGUUUACAUGUCUAUCUCCAGCUGUUGGUUGGGAGCUCACUGAAAAAGGAAACCUUUGUAAUUCAUUUUUGUAUCCUGAGGGCUUAGCACAGAGGCUGGCACCUGUUAGACCUAAGAAGGAUUGGCAACUCUGGACAAAUCAGAGAAGGAGCGUUGUCAACCCUUUUCUCCUGGUGAUGAUGAUGGUGAUGGUCAAUGUCCACUCCCAAAUAUCUAUAUUGGGAAGAGGUGGUUUGUAGGGUGAGCAUUUGUCUUUUGAGUGUAUACUUGAGGGAGGGAUGAAAUUAUGUUUGUUUUAUACUCUAGAAAAAUUGGCUAAAACAGCAAAUGUAAUUUUACAGAAUGAUGGAGAGGGCAUACUGAGGUGGGAGGCAAAUAAUAGAAGGAGAUGUAAAACUGUCAACCUUGAUCCCCACAGUGAUGGGGGAUGAUGACAGCAGGAGUAAGUUAUGGGAUGAUUGUAUGUUUGUGAACCUCAGUUCUUCUGCAGCAUGAGCUGGCAGGAUCCUCUCCUUGACCACCUCAGGUGACCUGCUGGAGCCCACUGGUCUCACCAGGAGAGGUCAUCGGGCCACCAGACCAACUGAAGUAAUAGUUCUUCUUGAGGACAGUCUCUAGCUCCCCCUCUAUCCCAUCCCACAGUCCAAAAAUGCUACCCAGCAUGGCCUAACCCAGAGUCUACCCCCAAAUAAGUGAUUCUGCAAGUUGCUAGAAUUCAAAGAUGCUCACACCCCAGAAUUAGAAAACAUCACUGUGGCAGUUUCAGGUUCUCAGCAAGCAGACCAAGAAUGCACAUGUGAGCUUCCUUUAUUUCAAGUUAAGGAUGCAUUUUCGGUUUUUAAAGUUCAACAAUAAUAAAAUCAGUUGAAAGCCCAACUUCUAGAGCAGUGCUAUUCAAUAUACUAGCACUGGCCUGUGUGGCUAUACAAAUUUAAACUAAUCAAAACUCAACAAAAUUUAAAAUGCAGUUCCUCAGUGGCAGUAGCCACAUGUUAAGAACUAAAUGGCCACAUGUGGCUAGUAGUCACCUUAUUGGACAAGGCAGCUGUAGUACAUUUCUGUCAUCACAGAAAGUUAUGUUGGAUAGCAUUCCUCUAGAAGCUGCUUCCGUGAAGCUGUGUGCCAGCUUUCUAAGUCAAGUUCUGUCGAUCCUAUUUGGUAGAAAAUAUGAUAAAUGUUUUAGAAAAUCACAAGAGGACUUUUAUUUGGCUGAAAUUUAAACAUAUGCAUGCAAUUUCUUAAAAUAUAUUUUACAUAUUUGAAGGUUCAGUUCACCUUGGAAAGCCAAAUUUCACAUCUACAAUAUGAACAAAAUUUCAACUUCCUGGAGCUCAGUGAUAAUUAUGGAUUAUAGGUUAAAAAUAAAGUUAAUAACUCCUAACAAGAGCAUGAGCAAUGUAAGACUUUUUCCAGGUAACAUUAGAAGCAAGAAAUAACUAAAAAAGGACAUUGCUUAUUUUUAAGGGUAUUAUCUCCAAGUACAUAUCAUUUUAAAGAAUAAAAUUUUGUGUUAUCUUUUUCAAAGCACAGAUAUUUCUUGUACAUGUUAACCUUCUAAGCUGCACAAUAAGAUAUGACAUCGUUUCUUUCCAAGAAAAGAAGUUAGUUCACCUAAGAGAAAAAUGAAUCAGCCUGGAUCCUAUUUUAUUAUUGGUCCAGGAGAAGCAAGGACCCUACCUGACUUCAGGGAGACCAUCUGGGCUAGUUAUUAGAGCUGUUUAUAAAACCCUGGCUCUCCUUCUCUAGGGGUGUGGGAGGGCUCACUUCCCCACUCCCUAAAGUAAAAAAAGGCCACAUGACUUGGCUUAAACAUGAGUAAGAGUAAUGAAUGUCUCUUCCAGAAGAAGCAUUUAAGUAACUGUGCUUGAUUCAUUCCCCCUUUCUCUCUACAUUGACAGUCAUGGAAUCCCAAGUUGGAAUCUCCAUCAGCAGAUAACCACUAGUGAGGACGAUUAAGAAAGGCUCUUUUAAUCUACAUUGGACACAUAGCAAGAGGAAAAAUAAACUUUUCUUAUAUUAAGCCAUUAUGAGCAUGAGGAUGUUUGUUACUGCAGUAUAACAUGGCCUUUGCUGACCAAUACCUCAUCCAAAUCUAGGUCACAUGGCACCAAAUGGCAACACGGUUCUGAGUCUUUUGUUUCUAUGAAUACAAAGUGAAAAAGCUAUAUGUGUACAAAUCAAGAAUCAGAUAAAGGUGAAGAAUCAAACUUGACGAAAGCAAUCCUAGGGGCUGGGCAUGCUGUCUCACGCCUGUAAUCCCAGCACUUUGGGAGGCCAAGGUGGGUGGAUCACAUGAGGUCAGGAGUUCAACACCAGCCUGGCCAACAUGGUGAAACCCAAUCUCUACUAAAAAUACAAAAAUUAGCCAGCCAUGGUGGUGGGUGCCUGUAAUCCCAGCUACUUGGGAGGCUGAGGCAGAAGAAUCGCUUGAACCUGGGAAGCGGAGGUUGCAGUGAGCCAAGAUCGCACCACUGCACUCCAACCUGGGUGAUAGAGCAAGACUCCCUCUCAAAGAAAAAAAAAAAAAAAAGCAAUCCUAGGUCUGAUUUCCUACAGACACUAAACAUAGAAAGAAGAAAUGGCUCAUUCAUGUGAGCACAAACAGUAAAGAGGUUUAUUUAAACUCUGCUGUGAGCUUGGGCCUCCUUUCCUGCCUGGUUGAAUUUAAAAAUACCAUAUAGACUGUGUGUACCUAAGAUGCUUUUCCUACAAGAGCCUUAAAAUUUUCAUUUCUCUCUUUCUAGAUAUGCUGCCAAGAGAAUUUUUUUCUUUAAGAACAAAUAAACUAAAGAAAUUAACAUCCAGCUUGCUGAGUCACUUGCUUUCCACUUGAAUUUUAACUACAAGGAUCUGAAGACAGCCUGUGUUAGGCAGAGAAAGAAAGAGACAGAGAAAGAGUCAGGGAGAAGAGAGGAAGAGAGAUGUAGCUGGAGAGUCAGGGAGAAAUUCAAAGAGAUGGAGAGAGAGACUGGUUCUGGAAAGAAAAGAUAAGUUAAAUAGAAAAAGGAAAGUAAUCUUUGAAAGGUUUGUUUAAGACAUGUAUUUUCUUACUCUGUAGUGGGAGCGCUGAAUAAAAAUAUUUAAAUAAAAGCUGUAAUGUGAUUAAGGUUUGAGUUGGGGUUUAAUCGUGGAAAGAGCAAGGUAUUUAGAGUGAAAGAUCUAACUUUUGUAUUUAUUUUUCAUUUUUUAGUGUUUUCGCUUUUUUAAUCCCAGGUCCUCUACCAUUGACUAUCUGAUGUUAACAAAAUCAGUUCGCUUUUGUGUCUUGGUUUCCUCAUCUAUGAAAAGGGAAUAGAAAAACUUACCACAUAAGUUGGUAGGGAAGACACAAUUCUAUAAAA
rnacentral:lncRNA from 1 species